UUGCCAAGGAACGAGUCCUUCACGUUAC
rnacentral:sRNA from 1 species